GCAAGGUGAGAAUUCAAGGGAGGCGUGCAAGCCCUUUUUAAAUCAAGGUGUUUUGUUGUUUUGUUUUGUUUUGUUUUGUUUUGUUUUGUUUUGUUACAUCCUGGCGUAUUGCAGAAAGGUCCAUGGAGGCAGAGAGGAUGUGCAGAUCAAAUAAGAAAGGAGAAGGAGGUCUGAGGGAAAAACACUAAUGAAAUACAUGUGACGACACCGAAGGCAUCACAGAUUAACACCAGCGAAAUGAGCCACAGGCACCUGAUCUCCCAGCUUUGGCCAGAACCUCCUAGAAACUCACCAGCUCUCUACUGUUCCUUGCUUGGCAGUCUCUCUCAGCUGUACCUGCGUAACAGAAGGAGACACAACUGGGGAUUUUGCUUUUGUUUUGUAGUUUGUUUGUUGUUUAUUUGUUUGCUCUGAGUAGUUUUACUCUGGUCUGAACAGGGAGAAGGCACUCUGUGUAUUUUUGGUUUUCGGCAGGGCGCUGGUCUAAACAGUUUAUUUUCUAAAAUAUAUCUAUCUGCCAAUUA